AGAGUUUGAUCAUGGCUCAGAUUGAACGCUGGCGGCAUGCCUUACACAUGCAAGUCGAACGGCAGCACGGGAGUAAUCCUGGUGGCGAGUGGCGAACGGGUGAGUAAUACAUCGGAACGUGCCCAGUCGUGGGGGAUAACGCAGCGAAAGCUGUGCUAAUACCGCAUACGAUCUCUGGAUGAAAGCGGGGGACUCGCAAGAGCCUCGCGCGAUUGGAGCGGCCGAUAUCAGAUUAGCUAGUUGGUGGGGUAAAAGCCCACCAAGGCGACGAUCUGUAGCUGGUCUGAGAGGACGACCAGCCACACUGGAACUGAGACACGGUCCAGACUCCUACGGGAGGCAGCAGUGGGGAAUUUUGGACAAUGGGCGCAAGCCUGAUCCAGCAAUGCCGCGUGCAGGAUGAAGGCCUUCGGGUUGUAAACUGCUUUUGUACGGAACGAAACGGCUCUUUCUAAUAAAGAGGGCUAAUGACGGUACCGUAAGAAUAAGCACCGGCUAACUACGUGCCAGCAGCCGCGGUAAUACGUAGGGUGCGAGCGUUAAUCGGAAUUACUGGGCGUAAAGCGUGCGCAGGCGGUGAUGUAAGACAGAUGUGAAAUCCCCGGGCUCAACCUGGGACCUGCAUUUGUGACUGCAUCGCUAGAGUACGGUAGAGGGGGAUGGAAUUCCGCGUGUAGCAGUGAAAUGCGUAGAUAUGCGGAGGAACACCGAUGGCGAACAAUCCCCUGGACCUGUACUGACGCUCAUGCACGAAAGCGUGGGGAGCAAACAGGAUUAGAUACCCUGGUAGUCCACGCCCUAAACGAUGUCAACUGGUUGUUGGGUCUUUA
rnacentral:rRNA from 1 species